rnacentral:lncRNA from 1 species
UAAAAGUGAGUCGCAUGGAAGCAAAAUUGUCUUGAGGCUUCCUGCAGAAGGUAUCACAUUCCGGAUCUUGGACCGCUUCUUCUCUUCUGUAUCCAUUGGAAAAGGCUGACCAUUACGCUAAAUUUUAUGUCUUCUCCACCAACACUGCUAUUAACAAAAUCAGAAAUUCAAUACAAAAACAGUGAAUGUGUACAUCAGGAAAGGGUCCUAGGAAUGUAAAUAGUAUACAAGAUCACAGCAAUGUAUUUUCCAGUUGUUAGAAAUUUGCUUAUAUCCAGAACUUGAAUCAGGUAAGCUGAUGAUGUAGCCGUUCCUCUCAACAAACCAUGGUUGUGGUUUAAACAUUAAAUUUAAAGGUGAUCUGUCAAUACCAAAAUAGAAGCAGUGUAACAAGAAACAACAAACACGGACUAUGACAAACCUAAGGCAUAUUUUGUGUUAAGAUGAUUAGAUUGAAACCCGCAACAGCAGCAAGGAGAGAAAAUUGAACAUCACCUGCCGAUGAUAAGCAGGAACAUUUGGUGCAUUAUCAAUGUUCAAUCAAUCUGGUAAUUGCAUUUCAAAAAAGAAAUAGAUGAAACACCAGACUACCCCCAUCAGAUGCACAUGCUGGGGUGGUUAACACCCUCCACCUCUCCAACUCUAAAUUUGUAGGGUUCGAAUCAUCAAACAGAGCAAAAUGGUGAAGAGGGGUAUAUUCAUCUUUAGUUGAGAUUUUCAUCCUAAAUUCUUGAAAUCAGAAACCCCUCCCAUUUUCAACCAUCAAGAAAUCUAAAAAUUAAAGGCAAAGGUUCAUAGUAAAAGUGCAAAAUAAUACACAGAACAGAAAUGAAGCUAGAAGGAAACAUCAAUAAAGAUAGAAAAAUCACAGAAUUGAUUCGACCAACUAAGAUUUUCAGAAUUCAACAAGGUGCUAAAGAGUGACUUGAUUCUAUUUCUGUUGGUCUGGGUUAUACUGAAGAUUAAGUACUAUCCCUUGCAGUUGAACUAAAGGAUAAAAUCCGCCAUAUGCAGUCCAUCCUGUCGGUAACUGAUCAAUUUCUCUCUUUUUUGUGGCAGAGCAUGGUUCUAGUUGAAGCACCUUUUCUGCUCCCUCUUCUCCUUAUCAGUACUACAAAUAUCUUCUAGAUUAUAUUUGCUUAUCCUUCUAUAUUUGGUUUAGAUACUUUCCUUAUCAUCAUUGUUUCUUUACUCUUGUAUUUUCUUCAAACUUAUUUUUGAGGCCUAUUGGAACCAGUCUUUCUACCUUGCACAAGUUGGGGGUAAGGUCUACACACACUCUUGGUAUAGUUAACAUACUAUAGAUGCAAGGUUCGAUCCACCGUAGUCGUAUUUUUUUCAUCUCUUACCCCAGCUAUAUUUCCAUACCCAUCAAUAAAUGACAAAAGGAUUAGAGAUCACCCUUCAAUCAUGUUACUGUUUCAAAAUAAAAGAAAGACAAAAGAUGCAGUAAUCCUAACUUGAGUUCAUCCAAUUCAUCCAAACUAAUCUGAAACAAAAAAUUUAGAAAAAGAGAAACAUUAGCUCAUUUAGGAUAGAUGACUGACCAAUGACUACAACGGAUAUAUUUCAAAGGGCUGCGAGUGAUCCUUGAGUUGAAAGUAGUGUCCAUCAAUUCUUUGAAUGGAUAGGUGUUCCAAAUCAAUGCAAAAUCUAGAACACUGUCAUCCAGCCAUCUGAUAUAUCGUGGCCUUACUGAUUUAGGAGAUGCAGCACAAGGGGAAAAAGAUAUACAACGGACCUGAUCAUAAAAGAUCAGUUCUGGCAGCUCUUCUACUUGGACAUAAUGCUUCGUUGGGCUUUCUGGCUGAUAUGUCAAUGA